rnacentral:lncRNA from 1 species
UCUAUUGUUAACUUGAUAAUAUGAAAAUGUAAACGAAGAGGCGUGAUGCUUACCUUAAUCUUGAUGACGUCUGCGUCACUACUAUUCGAAGUCGAUCUUCCCCUCUGCAAUCCAUAUCGAUUUUACUAUUCAACAAUCUAAUAAUAGCUAGAAAAAACAAGAGUCCCCAAGUGGACAUCCAAACCGAGCUCCCCUUUCCCCAAAUCAAAAAAAAGAAAACAGAAGGAACAAAAAUCUUGGACUGGAAUUUUGUCUGGAAAUGGUAAAAAUCGUACCUUAACCGCGACGAAAUCUGGGCCGUUCAUUUUCGCGAAUCAUGUGGUUUGAUGAUUUUGAUCGGACAAUGCACACCUGGGAUGCUGCGAAGUAGUGUUAUUUAUUGCGGUGGAUGAACUGAAACGUGGCGGAGUGUGGGGAAGCGGCGCAGUCAGUGUCUUCCGCCGCCCAAUGCCACCUCCGAUGUUCCAUCUCCGAGUAAUAUUCAUUGUUUUUUGCUCUGUUUUCUUUUUCAAUUUUUUGCUCUGUUUAAGAAUGAAAAUAACUGGAGAAUACUAUAAUGGAAGAUUGAGAUAUUUGAUGAGGUG